rnacentral:tRNA from 1 species
CCUAUAGCUCAGUCGGUUAGAGCACCUGACUCAUAAUCAGGGAGUCCUUGGUUCAAGCCCAAGUGGGACCA